rnacentral:rRNA from 1 species
AUUGUGCCAGCGGCCGCGGUAAGACGUAGGGAGCAAGCGUUGUCCGGAUUUACUGGGCGUAAAGAGCUCGUAGGCGGCUUGUUAAGUGUGAAGUGAAAUCUCCAGUGCUCAACACGGAAACUGCUUUACAUACUGGCAAGCUUGAGGAAAGCAGAGGUAACUGGAAUUCCUGGUGUAGCGGUGAAAUGCGUUGAUAUCAGGAGGAACACCCAUGGCGAAGGCAGGUUACUGGGCUUUAUCUGACGCUGAGGAGCGAAAGCGUGGGUAGCAAACAGGAUUAGAUACCCUGGUAGUCCACGCCCUAAACUAUGGAUACUAGUCGUGAGAGGUAUCGACCCCUCUCGUGACCGUAGCUAACGCGUUAAGUAUCCCGCCUGGGGACUACGGCCGCAAGGUUGAAACUCAAAUGAAUUGACGGGGACCCGCACAAGCGGUGGAGCAUGUGGUUUAAUUCGAUACUAACCGAAGAACCUUACCCAGGUUUGACAUCGAUCGCAAAGCCCUGAAAGGGGCUCCUCUCCCACAAGGAGACGUGAAGACAGAUGUUGCAUGGCUGUCGUCAGCUCGUGCCGUGAGGUGUACGGUUAAGUCCGCCAACGAGCGCAACCCACGUCCUGUGUUACCAGCGAGUAAAGUCGGGCACUCACAGGAGACCGCCGGUGUAAGCCGGAGGAAGGUGUGGAUGACGUCAAGUCAGCAUGGCUCUUACGCCUGGGGCUACACACAUGCUACAAUGGGCGCAACAAAGGGCAGCAAUACCGCGAGGUGGAGCCAAUCCCAAAAAUACGCCCCCAGUUCAGAUUGUAGUCUGCAACUCGACUACAUAAAGGCGGAAUCGCUAGUAAACGCAGGUCAGCUAUACUGCGUUGAAUACGUUCCCGGGUCUUGUACACACCGCCCGUCAAGUCACCUGAAUUGUCUUCACCCGAAGUCCGUGGCUAACCGUAAGGAGGGAGCGGCCGAGUGAGGGAGUAAGGGGACUAAGUCGUACAGGUACAU